GUCGAACGAGAAAGUGGAGCAAUCCAUGAGUACAGUGGCGUACGGGUGAGUAACACGUGGAUAACCUGCCCCUUUGUGGGGAAUACCGUUGGGAAACCGACGACAAUACCGCAUAAGCUCGAGAGAGGAAAGCAGCAAUGCGCAGAGGGAGGGGUCCGCGGUCGAUUAGCUAGUUGGUGAGGUAAUGGCUCACCAAGGCUGUGAUCGAUAGCCGGCCUGAGAGGGCACACGGCCACACUGGCACUGAAACACGGGCCAGACUCCUACGGGAGGCAGCAGUGGGGAAUCUUGCACAAUGGGGGAAACCCUGAUGCAGCGACGCCGCGUGAGCGAUGAAGCCCUUCGGGGUGUAAAGCUCUUUCGGCAGGGAAGAUUAUGACGGUACCUGCAGAAGCAGCUGCGGCUAACUACGUGCCAGCAGCCGCGGUAAUACGUAGGCAGCAAGCGUUGUUCGGAGUUACUGGGCGUAAAGGGUGCGUAGGCGGUCCUAUAAGUAUGGUGUGAAAUCUCCCGGCUUAACUGGGAGGGUGCGCUAUAGACUGUGGGACUAGAGUGUGGGAGAGGAAAGUGGAAUUCCUGGUGUAGCGGUGAAAUGCGUAGAUAUCAGGAGGAACACCGGUGGUGUAAACGGCUUUCUGGACCAUAACUGACGCUGAGGCACGAAAGCGUGGGUAGCAAACAGGAUUAGAUACCCUGGUAGUCCACGCCCUAAACGAUGCAUAUUUGGUGUGGGUCAUUCAGUUGAUCCGUGCCGGAGCUAACGCGUUA
rnacentral:rRNA from 1 species